GACGAACGCUGGCGGCGUGCUUAACACAUGCAAGUCGAACGGAAAGGCCCUGCUUUUGUGGGGUGCUCGAGUGGCGAACGGGUGAGUAACACGUGAGUAACCUGCCCUUGACUUUGGGAUAACUUCAGGAAACUGGGGCUAAUACCGGAUAGGAGCUCCUGCUGCAUGGUGGGGGUUGGAAAGUUUCGGCGGUUGGGGAUGGACUCGCGGCUUAUCAGCUUGUUGGUGGGGUAGUGGCUUACCAAGGCUUUGACGGGUAGCCGGCCUGAGAGGGUGACCGGCCACAUUGGGACUGAGAUACGGCCCAGACUCCUACGGGAGGCAGCAGUGGGGAAUAUUGCACAAUGGGCGGAAGCCUGAUGCAGCAACGCCGCGUGCGGGGUGACGGCCUUCGGGUUGUAAACCGCUUUCGCCUGUGACGAAGCGUGAGUGACGGUAAUGGGUAAAGAAGCACCAGCUAACUACGUG
rnacentral:rRNA from 1 species